rnacentral:rRNA from 1 species
AACGAACGCUGGCGGCAUGCCUAACACAUGCAAGUCGAACGAGACCUUCGGGUCUAGUGGCGCACGGGUGCGUAACGCGUGGGAACCUGCCCUUAGGUUCGGAAUAACUCCCCGAAAGGGGUGCUAAUACCGGAUAAUGUCUUCGGACCAAAGAUUUAUCGCCUUUGGAUGGGUCCGCGUUGGAUUAGCUAGUUGGUAGGGUAAAAGCCUACCAAGGCGACGAUCCAUAGCUGGUCUGAGAGGAUGAUCAGCCACACUGGGACUGAGACACGGCCCAGACUCCUACGGGAGGCAGCAGUGGGGAAUAUUGGACAAUGGGCGAAAGCCUGAUCCAGCAAUGCCGCGUGAGUGAUGAAGGCCUUAGGGUUGUAAAGCUCUUUUACCCGGGAUGAUAAUGACAGUACCGGGAGAAUAAGCUCCGGCUAACUCCGU